rnacentral:rRNA from 1 species
UACGUAGGGGGCAAGCGUUGUUCGGAAUUACUGGGCGUAAAGGGCGCGUAGGCGGCACAGCAAGUCGGGAGUGAAAGCCCGGGGCUCAACCAAGGAAGUGCAUCCGAAACUGCUGAGCUUGAGUACGAAAGAGGAUCGCGGAAUUCCCGGUGUAGAGGUGAAAUUCGUAGAUAUCGGGAGGAACACCAGUGGCGAAGGCGGCGAUCUGGGUCGAUACUGACGCUGAGGUGCGAAAGCGUGGGGAGCAAACAGG